rnacentral:rRNA from 1 species
UACGUAGGGGGCAAGCGUUGUCCGGAAUUAUUGGGCGUAAAGAGCGCGUAGGCGGUCUGAUAAGUCGGUUGUGAAAGUCGGGGGCUCAACCCUCGGAUGCCGAUCGAUACUGUCAGGCUAGAGUCCGGAAGAGGCGAGUGGAAUUCCUGGUGUAGCGGUGAAAUGCGCAGAUAUCAGGAGGAACACCGGUGGCGAAGGCGGGUCUCUGGGCCGAUACUGACGCUGAGGAGCGAAGGCGUGGGGAGCGAACAGG